UACAGAGGUCUCAAGCGUUGUUCGGAUUCACUGGGUUUAAAGGGUGCGUAGGUGGGAAGGUAAGUCAGUGGUGAAAUCUCCGGGCUUAACUCGGAAACUGCCAUUGAUACUAUCUGUCUUGAAUACCGUGGAGGUCAGCGGAAUAUGUCAUGUAGCGGUGAAAUGCUUAGAUAUGACAUAGAACACCAAUUGCGAAGGCAGCUGGCUACACGAAUAUUGACACUGAUGCACGAAAGCGUGGGGAUCAAACAGG
rnacentral:rRNA from 1 species